CGGGGGAGAAUUUUCCAGCUGGAGCCAAGCGUGUGCUGCAAAGGGCCUACUGAGAGAUGGAAAGUCACACUCUAUGAUAUGCAGCAAGCACUCUCAAGGGCAAAGUAUGCCCCGAGCAUUAGAAAUAGAAGAUUUCUAGAAUUCAAGGCUAGGAGAGAUUUUAGAAUCCAUCUUGUUCAACCCUCUUCCCUCCCUCUUUACAUGGAGGAGUAAGAGACGAGUCAAGGGUACUCAUUCCUUUAUGCCAUUUAUUGAGUAUGAGUGCAGCUGACCUUGGGCUGGACACCGGUCUGUGUGUGGUCCAAGGAUCCGGGAAUGGAGGGUAAGCCUCUUGUACAGCAAUUGGGUCAUUGGGCUUGCAGUUUCUAUUUCUCUCUCUCUUUAUUUAUUUAUUUUUUAAAGUAAUUCAUCUUCAUUGUGUUUUACAAAAGGAUUAGUUCAAGAUGGAUUGAGGACCAAAAUAACAAUAACAACAAUAAUUUCUUGGCUGGAAGCAUUUGCCUCCUAGAGUUACAGCUCAUUCAGCCACAUGACUGUCAGGGCUGCCUGCCUGCUCCAAUUCCCUCCCACUUCCUCCCGUCAGAGGCCCCGAGAUAGUCUUAGAGACCUCAGGAACCCCAUUUUAUUCUCCAGCCCUGAUAGGAAGAUGACUCUCCUUGUGGGCGUUAGCCUUUUGCUUCUCUACCGAGGCGUGCUGUGUGACCAAGUGACCCAGAGCCCCCCAUACCAGACAGUGGCAAGCGGCAGUAAGGUGACACUGUUCUGCACUUAUCACACAACAUACUCAAACCCGGAUUUAUACUGGUACCGAAUAAGGCCAGAUCGUUCCUUUCAGUUUAUCCUCUACAGGGAUAACACUCGAUCCAAAGAUGCAGAUUUUACUCAGGGUCGUUUUUGGGUGUGGCACAGUCAGUCCCAGAAAACCUUCCACUUGGUGAUCUCGGUGGAGCCUGAAGACAGUGCCACAUACUACUGCGCCAUCUAUCCCCACAGUGUCGCAGGUGCCCAGGAGGUCUGAACAUAAACCCCCAGCACAGCCUGGUAUAGCUCCCUGGGAUCCUUCUUCCCGGCUAUUUUGUGUUCCAGCCUGGCCUUUGGAGGUGCCCUGACAUGUCUGCUGAAUAAUACAAGGGCAGCUCACAUCCAGGAGAGCACCCUGGCUUCAUAUGAAGCAGAGCACCUCCCUACCUUCUGACUCAGUGGGCCGUUGCGGUGGGAGAGUGGGAGAGGUAUAUCUGGGGAAUUCUCAUCUUCGUGUCCCCAGUGCCCAGGUCACUCACGCCUGAUAUGGGGGCCUGUCGCGUAUGUACUCUGAGGACUGUGAAGAUACCAGAAUGGCCAAGGUACCAUUCGGGAGUGUUUUUAUUUUAGUCUCCAUCAUUUAUCCAUUAUUGUGAAUUGGUCUGUUUUCCUUUUAAGAUUCAAAGUAGACACAAAGUUACUUACUUCAAAAAUUUCCCCCCAGUUCACCUUUUCCCUGCUUCUUCUUGUACAGCCUCCUUAUUUUUCUUGAAUGCUCUUUGACACUGCCAUUUCACUUACUUUAUUUGGAGAACAUUUUUCUUUCACGGAGGAGUAUUGAGAUACUCCGAAAAAGCUGUUGGUGAUCCCUAGAACCCCAGCAUCAAGUCCCUGGGUUUGGAGCUCAUUGGUGUCUCCAAGGAAGAUAAUCAUCUCCAGGAGAAUCCAACUGUGUGAUGUCAAAAUAGAUACACCCUGAGCCCUGGGAACUCGUCCCUCUUUCCUUUUUUUUUUUCCCGUUGAAUUCUUUGCCUUAAAACAACUAUUCAUUAUGAGAUGUAACCUUGAAGAGAGUAGAAGCCCAGGCUAUGAUUUUAUACGGAAAACACUAGAGCGCAGAGAAGGGAGGGACCUUCAUUCCCAAGGUCAGAGAGCCGGGUAAUAAUAGAGCUCACAUGUGCUGCUGCGCUUUUAGGGCUCUCCCUGGCAGCUUUAUCAGUAGGUGCUCUGGCAGCAGUUUAUCUGGGCUUCAAAACAGGUGGGU